AUUGAACGCUGGCGGCAGGCCUAACACAUGCAAGUCGAACGAGUGGCGGACGGGUGAGUAAUGUCUGGGAAACUGCCCGAUGGAGGGGGAUAACUACUGGAAACGGUAGCUAAUACCGCAUACCCUCGGAUGUGCCCAGAUGGGAUUAGCUAGUUGGUGGGGUAACGGCUAACCUAGGCGACGAUCCCUAGCUGGUCUGAGGGGAUGACCAGCCACACUGGAACUGGGACACGGUCCAGACUCCUACGAGAGGCAUCAGUGGAGAAUAUUGCACAAUGAGCACAAGCCUGAUACAGCCAUGCAGCGUAUAUGAAGAAGGCCUUCGGGUUGUAAAGUACUUUAAGCAGUGAAACAUUGCUCGCAGAAGAAGCUCCGGCUAACUCCGUGCCAGCAGCCGCGGUAAUAC
rnacentral:rRNA from 1 species